GGCUUGGUAGCGCUCUCAUCGCGUCUGCUUUCAAUUGCGAGUCAGGUUGUUUCAGCAGAAGACGCUCGUUCGACUCGAGCCCAAGUCC